rnacentral:rRNA from 1 species
AUUGAACGCUGGCGGCAUGCCUUACACAUGCAAGUCGAACGGCAGCACGGGUGCUUGCACCUGGUGGCGAGUGGCGAACGGGUGAGUAAUACAUCGGAACGUACCUUAUCGUGGGGGAUAACGCAGCGAAAGCUGUGCUAAUACCGCAUACGCCCUGAGGGGGAAAGCGGGGGAUCGCAAGACCUCGCGCGAUUAGAGCGGCCGAUGCCUGAUUAGCUUGUUGGUGGGGUAAAAGCCCACCAAGGCGACGAUCAGUAGCUGGUCUGAGAGGACGAUCAGCCACACUGGGGCUGAGACACGGCCCAGACUCCUACGGGAGGCAGCAGUGGGGAAUUUUGGACAACGGGGGCAACCCUGAUCCAGCAAUGCCGCGUGAGUGAAGAAGGCCUUCGGGUUGUAAAGCUCCUUUGUCAGGGAAGAAACACCGGCUCUAACACAGUCCGGGAAUGACGGUACCUGAAGAAUAAGCACCGGCUAACUACGUGCCAGCAGCCGCGGUAA